GGUAGCGUGUCCGAGCGGCCGAAGGUGCUUCACUCGAAAUGAAGUGUGCGGUAACCCCGCACCGCGGGUUCAAAUCCCGCCGCUACCG
rfam:Brachybacterium sp. P6-10-X1, complete genome.